rnacentral:rRNA from 1 species
GCUAAUACAUGCAAGUCGAACGCUUCUUUUCCCACCGGAGCUUGCUCCACCGGGAAAAGAGGAGUGGCGAACGGGUGAGUAACACGUGGGUAACCUGCCCAUCAGAAGGGGAUAACACUUGGAAACAGGUGCUAAUACCGUAUAACAAUCGAAACCGCAUGGUUUCGUUUUGAAAGGCGCUUUACGGUGCCGCUGAUGGAUGGACCCGCGGUGCAUUAGCUAGUUGGUGAGGUAACGGCUCACCAAGGCCACGAUGCAUAGCCGACCUGAGAGGGUGAUCGGCCACAUUGGGACUGAGACACGGCCCAAACUCCUACGGGAGGCAGCAGUAGGGAAUCUUCGGCAAUGGACGAAAGUCUGACCGAGCAACGCCGCGUGAGUGAAGAAGGUUUUCGGAUCGUAAAACUCUGUUGUUAGAGAAGAACAAGGGUGAGAGUAACUGUUCACCCCUUGACGGUAUCUAACCAGAAAGCCACGGCUAACUACGUGCCAGCAGCCGCGGUAAUACGUAGGUGGCAAGCGUUGUCCGGAUUUAUUGGGCGUAAAGCGAGCGCAGGCGGUUUCUUAAGUCUGAUGUGAAAGCCCCCGGCUCAACCGGGGAGGGUCAUUGGAAACUGGGAGACUUGAGUGCAGAAGAGGAGAGUGGAAUUCCAUGUGUAGCGGUGAAAUGCGUAGAUAUAUGGAGGAACACCAGUGGCGAAGGCGGCUCUCUGGUCUGUAACUGACGCUGAGGCUCGAAAGCGUGGGGAGCAAACAGGAUUAGAUAC